rnacentral:rRNA from 1 species
UACGGGAGGCAGCAGUGAGGAAUCUUGCACAAUGGGCGAAAGCCUGAUGCAGCGACGCCGCGUGUGUGAAGAAGGCCUUCGGGUUGUAAAGCACUUUCAGUAGGGAGGAAGGCUUUGGGCUAAUACCCUGGAGUACUUGACGUUACCUACAGAAGAAGCACCGGCUAAUUUCGUGCCAGCAGCCGCGGUAAU